AGUGGUGAAAUCCUGCAGCUUAACUGUAGAACUGCCAUUGAUACUGGUUUCCUUGAGUAUAGUUGAAGUGGGCGGAAUGUGUAUUGUAGCGGUGAAAUGCUUAGAUAUUACACAGAACACCUAUUGCGAAGGCAGCUCACUAAACUAAUACUGACGCUGAUGCACGAAAGCGUGGGGAGCAAACAGGAUUAGAUACCCUGGUAGUCCACGCCGUAAACGUUGAUUACUCGAUGUGUGCGAUACACUGUACGCGUCUGAGCGAAAGCAUUAAGUAAUCCACCUGGGGAGUACGAUCGCAAGAUUGAAACUCAAAGGAAUUGACGGGGGCCCGCACAAGCGGAGGAACAUGUGGUUUAAUUCGAUGAUACGCGAGGAACCUUACCUGGGCUUAAAUGUAGACUGAUUUCCACCGAAAGGUGGUUUCCCUUCGGGGCAGACUGCAAGGUGCUGCAUGGUUGUCGUCAGCUCGUGCCGUGAGGUGUCGGGUUAAGUCCCAUAACGAGCGCAACCCCUAUCGUUAGUUGCCAGCGAGUAAUGUCGGGGACUCUAGCGAAACUGCCGGGUAAACCGUGAGGAAGGUGGGGAUGACGUCAAAUCAGCACGGCCCUUAUGUCCAGGGCUACACACGUGUUACAAUGGCCGGUACAGAGGGCAGCUACCUGGCAACAGGUUGCAAAUCUCAAAAACCGGUCUUAGUUCGGAUCGAAGUCUGCAACUCGACUUCGUGAAGCUGGAUUCGCUAGUAAUCGCGCAUCAGCCAUGGCGCGGUGAAUACGUUCCCGGGCC
rnacentral:rRNA from 1 species